UACGAAGGGGGCUAGCGUUGUUCGGAAUCACUGGGCGUAAAGGGUGCGCAGGCGGGUUCGUCAGUCUGGGGUGAAAUCCCGAGGCUCAACCUCGGAACUGCCCUUAAUACUGCGGAUCUUGAGUCCGGAAGAGGUGGGUGGAACUGCGAGUGUAGAGGUGAAAUUCGUAGAUAUUCGCAAGAACACCGGUGGCGAAGGCGGCCCACUGGUCCGGAACUGACGCUGAGGCACGACAGCGUGGGGAGCAAACAGG
rnacentral:rRNA from 1 species